AUGGCGCUGCCACAUGACAUAUUGGGACUUUUUUCCCCUUCGCUAAACCGGGUGUGGGUGUGGCCAGCGUGUAACACAUCCGGCCUGUGGACCAGGAGUUUGACAGCCCUGAUCAACAGACUUUCAACAGUCCUGUAUUUCAGCUUUAAAAAGCCUAGCCUUUAUAUAGCAACAUAUUUUCAAGGUGCCAGAUGAAGCAAACUACUAGCCUCCUGACUCAACACUCUCAGCUUGGCCCAGCACUUGGUCUUCACUUCAUUCUAGAAGGCUAAAAGGAUAGGUCCCCUCAAAUCUCAGUUGGAAGGCUGUUCCAAAAGGCUGGGAUGGUAACAGAGAAGGUACAUUUCUAAGGGCCCAUUAGAUGACAGCUUUAAGGGAAAGGACCUGGAGUGGACCUACCAUACCUGACUUAGUAGAAGGAGCAGAGAUCCUUAGGUGCAGGUGGUCCCACAAAUAACAUGGCCCUGUGUAGUGAUAACAAGCCCCUCAAAACUGCACCCAGAAAGGAAAUGGGAGCAAUCCAGCUCACACAACAGUGGUGUAAAUCAAGCAAACCACAGGCACCAAGACCUAUGCCUGUUAAUUGCAUUUUGGAUCAGCUGCAGUUUUUGGAUGGUCUUCAAAGGCAGCCCAUUACAGCAUUGUACUAAUCCAAAUGAAAAGUGACUACAGCACGAAUGACAAAACGUAAGCAAAUGUGCAAAGUAAGACAACAGAAAAGUGCCAACAUACGCACUAGGAGUCGGGCAGCAUAUAAAUGUAAUAAAAAUAGUUAUUGUUCUUUUAAACACAGUACAAGUCCAUUGUGUAAUGCUACUUUCAAAUAGAUACUUUGGGGGGUGGGGGCAAAAGUAAGCUGCAGAAGGAAACUUUUUCUUUAAAACUAAAUGAAAUUGAAAGAAAAGCAGAAUUAACCUCAAAAUUUUAAAAAGAAACUUACGAUUCCACUUAAAAUAGUUAUGAACACCUACUGCAGAGAAAAGUAUGUGUAUAGCAGAAUUAGUUUUCUCAGGUUACAACAUUCAGUAGAUGAAACAUGACUAAGUAGGCUGUGUGAAACUCACACAUGGAUAUCCAUGACUUUAGCUAAUGGAAAGCUAUAAAAUGAAAAUCUUGUAAUUAUUUUCACGUUUUCAGAUGACAAAAGCUGGUAUUUCAGUAAUCCUAAAAAUUUAUUUACAUUCUUAUAAACACAUCUUAAAACAUAUGAAAUAUGGGUAUUUAUCUCUUGGAUUAGAUAUUAUACAGAAGAUUUAUAUGUAUUGUGCAAACAAACCGAAUUCCAUUUUGUAUAAAAUACAUGUAUUUACAUAUAUGUUAGGCUAAAAAUAGGAGUUGAUGCACUACUAUAAAUAAAUAGUUUAUCCACUGGGAAACUGUUGACAAAGCUUCUUUUAUACAGCAUAUUUAAAUGAUAUUGAAUCUUAGAAACAUAAAGGGUUCUGCUCAAGUUUACAGAAAACAUUGUUACAUCCUAAUAUAUAUUUUAAUCCAAACCAGUUUCUAAACAAGACAACUAUUUUAAUGAAUUAGCAUUUAUACCAAACAACAUUUUUCUAUUUAAGUAUGCUUCUGAUGAUUGGCUGAUUACAAUAGCCAAUUUUGAGAUCAUGCUGGACAGAGUGCAUAGAAGCUUUAGCCCAGCAUAUGUUCAGGGCAUUGGGUAUGGGAAGUCUGAGAUUGCCCAGAUUGCCAUAUACCUGCCUCUAGGCAGAGCUAUCUGCUUUAAAGCUGAAUUUGAUUAAGAUUUUAAAAGGGUAGAUGAAACUAAAAUAUUAUGUUUAUAUUUUAAGCAGAAAUCUUGUAUAGUUUCAUACCCAAUAUAUUUUUCUGCCAUUUUAGUGUUUUUUUUCUUGUAAAUCAAAGUCUGCCAUAGAAUUGGACAUUCUAGAAACCAUUUAAUAAUACAUGGUUCUGAAAAUGAUCAUUAAUAAUGAUGAUUAUUAAGAGCCAAAGUGGCGCAGUGGUUAGAAUGCAGUACUGUAGACUACUGCUGACUGCCAGCUGACUGCAAUUUGGCAGUUUGAAUCUCACCAGGCUCAAGGUUGACUCAGUCUUCCAUCUUUCCGAGGUCGGUAAAAUGAGGACCCAGAUUAUUGGGGGCAAUAUGCUAACUCUGUAAACUGCUUAGAGGGGGCUGUAAAGCACUAUGAAGCGGUAUAUAAGUUUUAGCACUUAUUACACAGCAAAGUGCAGGCUACAUUUAAGCAGAAAGUAGCACUUUCAGAGCUUUUAUAAGUAGAGGCAUCCCUUCAUAUGAAAAGUAGAUAUAACUUGUUAUUCUUCAAUUUUUGUAAUUCUGUAGAGGGGGAACUAAUAGAAGACACAUUUUAAAGCCUUUUUGUUUUAUUCCUGGCUUUGAUUUCCAAGAAUAUAUUCAUUAAAAAAAUGGAUCCAAUGACAUGAGGAGGGUGUAGAAGGAUGGACUGAUGAAAACAGCAUUACAGCACAAGCCUCAUCCCAUUUCAUGACACUCCUUAUAUCAUGCAUUGCAUACAUGCCCCAAAGUAUUGGGGCUUGCAGUGUGAUGUUCCUUUUAUCAUUCUGAGAAAAGUAACCAGAUCCCGUGGAUGCGCUGAUUAAUAAAUUCUAACAUUGGGAAUGGAUUUAAGUUAUUUUCCUAAAUGCUGGUAACUUGAAAUUAAGUUCCAUCAAAAUAAGAGAAUGUUAGGUCUAAAUUUUAUCUGCUUAAUGAUAAUCUGCUGCUCGAUUUACAGAAUUGGCAGAAAUUGAGCAUUUAAUUUGUCAGUAAAAUCAACAGAUAGCCACAGUAGUUCAUAGCUACUUAUUCUUCUAUUAAACAAUGCAUAAUUGUUUAACUGAUUCAAA
ensembl:lncRNA